UGGGGUAAUGGCCUACCAAGACUGUGAUCAAUAGCUGAUUUGAGAGGAUGAUCAGCCACAUUGGGACUGAGACACGGCCCAAACUCCUACGGGAGGCAGCAGUGGGGAAUCUUGCACAAUGGAGGAAACUCUGAUGCAGCGAUGCCGCGUGAGUGAAGAAGGCCCUUGGGUUGUAAAGCUCUUUCGUCGGGGAAGAAAAUGACUGUACCCGAAUAAGAAGGUCCGGCUAACUUCGUGCCAGCAGCCGCGGUAAUACGAAGGGACCUAGCGUAGUUCGGAAUUACUGGGCUUAAAGAGUUCGUAGGUGGUUGAAAAAGUUAGUGGUGAAAUCCCAGAGCUUAACUCUGGAACUGCCAUUAAAACUUUUCAGCUAGAGUAUGAUAGAGGAAAGCAGAAUUUCUAGUGUAGAGGUGAAAUUCGUAGAUAUUAGAAAGAAUACCAAUUGCGAAGGCAGCUUUCUGGAUCAUUACUGACACUGAGGAACGAAAGCAUGGGUAGCGAAGAGGAUUAGAUACCCUCGUAGUCCAUGCCGUAAACGAUGUGUGUUAGACGUUGGAAAUUAAUUUUCAGUGUCGCAGCGAAAGCGAUAAACACACCGCCUGGGGAGUACGACCGCAAGGUUAAAACUCAAAUGAAUUGACGGGGACCCGCACAAGUAGUGGAGCAUGUGGUUUAAUUCGAAGAUACGCGCAGAACCUUACCAACACUUGACAUGUUCGUCGCGACUCUAAGAGAUUAGAGUUUUCGGUUCGGCCGGACGAAACACAGGUGCUGCAUGGCUGUCGUCAGCUCGUGUCGUGAGAUGUUGGGUUAAGUCCCGCAACGAGCGCAACCCUCACUUUUAGUUGCCAUCAUUAAGUUGGGCACUCUGAAAGAACUGCCAGUGAUAAGCUGGAGGAAGGUGGGGAUGACGU
rnacentral:rRNA from 1 species